rnacentral:rRNA from 1 species
GAUGAACGCUGGCGGCGUGCCUAAUACAUGCAAGUCGAGCGAACGGACGAGAAGCUUGCUUCUCUGAUGUUAGCGGCGGACGGGUGAGUAACACGUGGAUAACCUACCUAUAAGACUGGGAUAACUUCGGGAAACCGGAGCUAAUACCGGAUAAUAUUUUGAACCGCAUGGUUCAAAAGUGAAAGACGGUCUUGCUGUCACUUAUAGAUGGAUCCGCGCUGCAUUAGCUAGUUGGUAAGGUAACGGCUUACCAAGGCAACGAUGCAUAGCCGACCUGAGAGAGUGACCGGCCACACUGGAACUGAGACACGGUCCAGACUCCUAAGGGAGGCAGCAGUAGGGAAUCUGCCGCAAUGGGCGAAAGCAUGACGGAGCAACGCCGCGUGAGUGAUGAAGGUCUUCGGAUCGUAAAACUCUGUUAUUAGGGAAGAACAGAUGUGUAAGUAACUGUGCACAUCUUGACGGUACCUAAUCAGAAAGCCACGGCUAACUACGUG